UUUUCUUUUUGAUGUCCUUUGCAGUGGAUCACAGCUAUCUGCUGAGGAUCACCACGAUGAAUGACACGGUAACUAUCUGGACCAGGAAGUUCAUGACCAAUCGACCGCUCCAGAGGAAACAAAUGGUCACCAAUGUCCUUCACCACGGAAAUGCAACAAAAUGUACAAGAUCAUAAUAGGUGUCAUCUUCAUAUUAAUAGUUGGACUCAGAACCCAUGUUGGUGGUGGUUAAACAAUGGGCUUUGGCAUGCUAUCUGGUUCUUUGAAUUAUGCAAAGAAAAAUGAACUCAAACAUAGACUUGCAAGACACAGCUGACAUGAGAAGAAAACGACCUCGAGAAAACAGCAAAAGGAAUGCAAGGGCAGAAUGAAGUCAAGAGACUGCAAAGGCCAAUGUCAGUGCUGGCAAAAAGCAAAAGGAGUAAAGAUUUUGCAAUGACUUUAUUUGCAGUGACUGUACAAAUUUUGCAUGAGAUGAUCAAUCAGCUGUAAAGACUUUUACAUAUAUAUAAAACAUCUUAAUAUUUUUCAUCAUCUUUGAUUUCCUAGAUGUUCUAGAAACUGAUUUUUAGUGAGAAAAAAACUACAUUUAUCUGAGUUGACCAGUUCCUUCAGUUUCA
rnacentral:lncRNA from 1 species